rnacentral:misc_RNA from 1 species
GAAAAAAACACAAAUUUUCUUGAAAACAGUGUAUUAUGUAUAUGCUCCCACCAAGCAGAACUUAAACAAGCGCAAUAGCACUCGAACUUCAUUGCUUCAAUAAGUACUCACACUUCAAUGCUUCAAAAUCAAAAGCCAUUAGCAUAAAGCACAGGCCACUCUCAAGAUUAACUUUUAAGCUUUCUUAAAUAUAAGUAUUGCAAUGCCUCAAAACAAAGAAGUCAAGCAAGAACAACGUCAUCUGGAACUCAAAAUAAUAAUAA